GAGAACGCGUGGCGGCGUGCUUAACACAUGCUACUCGAACGGAAAGGCCUCUUCGGAGGCACUCGAGCUGGCGAACGGGGGAGUAACACGUGGGUGAUCUGCCCUGCACUCUGGGAUAAUCCUGGGAAACUGGCUCUAAUACCGGAUAGGACCAUGCUUUACUGUGUGUGGUGGAAAGUUUUUUCCGUGUAGGAUGAGCCCGCGGACUAUCUUGCUUGUUGGUGGGGUAAUGGCCUACCUAGGCGGCGACGGGUAUCCUGACUGACAGGCUGGUCGGCCUCGUUGCGACUGACAUACGGCCCACACUCCUACGGGAGGCACCCGUGGGCAAUAUUGCACAAUGGACGCCAGCCUGAUGCCACCACUCCGCUAUGGGGGAUGACAGCCUUCUCGCUGUAAACUCCUUUCGCCAGGGACGAACCGUUUUGGGACUGCACCUGGAGAAGAAUCACCCGCUAUGUACCUGCCCUCGUGCGCGGCCACACCUAUGGCGCUGACGUUGACCCGAGUUACUGGGCGUAAAGAGCUCGUAGGUGGUUUGUCCGUCGUCUGUGAAAUUCCACAGCUUAACUGUGGGCGUGCAGGCGAUACGGGCUGACUUGAGUACUGUAGGGGUAACUGGAAUUCCUGGUGUAGCGGUGAAAUGCGCAGAUAUCAGGAGGAACACCGAUGGCGAAGGCAGGUUACUGGGCAGUUACUGACGCUGAGGAGCGAAAGCAUGGGUAGCAAACAGGAUUAGAUACCCUGGUAGUCCAUGCCGUAAACGGUGGGCGCUAGGUGUAGGGACCUUUUGGGGUUUCUGUGCCGUAGCUAACGCAUUAAGCGCCCCGCCUGGGGAGUACGGCCGCAAGGCUAAAACUCAAAGGAAUUGACGGGGGCCCGCACAAGCGGCGGAGCAUGUGGAUUAAUUCGAUGCAACGCGAAGAACCUUACCUGGGCUUGACAUACACUGGAUCGCUGCAGAGAUGUAGUUUCCCUUGUGGCUAGUGUACAGGUGGUGCAUGGCUGUCGUCAGCUCGUGUCGUGAGAUGUUGGGUUAAGUCCCGCAACGAGCGCAACCCUUGUCUUAUGUUGCCAGCACGUUAUGGUGGGGACUCAUGAGAGACUGCCGGGGUUAACUCGGAGGAAGGUGGGGACGACGUCAAGUCAUCAUGCCCCUUAUGUCCAGGGCUUCACACAUGCUACAAUGGCCGGUACAAUGCGCAGCGAGCCUGUGAGGGUGAGCUAAUCGCUUAAAGCUGGUCUUAGUUCGGAUUGGGGUCUGCAACUCGACCCCAUGAAGUCAGAGUCGCUAGUAAUCGCAGAUCAGCAAUGCUGCGGUGAAUACGUUCCCGGGCCU
rnacentral:rRNA from 1 species